AAUUAUUCUAUGUCUCAUCGGACAGGGAUUGUUGGGCUGAUAUCUGGCCUACUCUUUCCAAGCACAGAGUUGGGUCAUGUGGCCCUAGGGAAGGCAUGGGCUACUGGACUCCUAAACUUGGGCGGACAAGCGUGAGACUGGUUUCACAGGGCAACGAACAGUCCCCGCUCUGUGCAGAGGACGAAUAACAAGUUGGUGUCUUCGAAGCCCAACAAAUGCCUGUUGGUUUGCUCCAAUUAAAA
ncrna:Nicotiana tabacum cultivar TN90 Ntab-TN90_scaffold872, whole genome shotgun sequence